rnacentral:lncRNA from 1 species
AGAAGCAGCCAGGGUGAGAAAAGGGUAGGAGAGCAGGACACAGCCAAAUGAUGUGAUGGCUUUUCCUGCCAGGCCAAAGAAGUGGCCUUUGAUAGGCAAAGGGCAUCCCUUGAGAGUUUUGUAGUAGGAGGGCAACAAAGCAAAUCAUCUGUCAAGGAUAUGAAUCCCAUUGAAUGGGGAUGAAAGUGGACUACUACCUCAUGGCAUGUUUUGAGGAUGAAAUGAGCUAAUAAACACAGUCUUCAGCCCUACAUUAGCUGACUUAUAUAAGUUAUUAGUCUUCUAGAAGGAUCACAAGGAACCAGCAUCAAAGAAAUGGAAUCCAGCUAAUUCCCCCAAGAAACUGAAGUUUUCGGGACAUGACUUGUGAAAGGCAAACAUAAGCUGACAUCUUUUCACACUGAACAGCAAGAGCCAAAGUGUAUCCGAAAAGCCAUUGUCAAAACAAGGAGUGAGAACAGCUGGGGUCAAGACCUAAUGAAGGGCAUCACUCAGCCUCUUUGAGCCUCGGAUUCCUCAUUUGUAAAGUGGGCAUAAUAAUACCUCACAGGGUAGUUAUGAGGGCAAAUGAGAUAAUGGACACGAAGGCACCUGUACACUCCACGGUGCUAUCAGAAUAUUGACUAUUAGUGCUUUCAUCACGCGGCUCCAUCCAAACCCCUGCUUUCCCUCACUCCAGUAAGUGGUUGCCCUCCACCCACCCCCCAUCUUCUAAUAAUGUAGACUGGAAACCCAAGCAUCAUCUUUGUCCUCCUUUUCAUUCCCUGACCCCAGUUGGUCUUCAUCCACAGUCUCUUUUUUUUUUUUUCUUUUUUGAGACAGAGUCUCACUCUGUCACAGAGGCUGGAGUGCAGUGGCGCGAUCUUGGCUCACUGCAACCUCUACCUCCUGGGUUCAAGCGAUUCUCCUGACUCAGCCUCCCAAGUAGCUGGGACUAAAGGUGCCCACCACCACACACAGCCACUUUUUCUAUUUUUAGUACAGACGAGGUUUCACCAUGUUGGCCAGGCUCCUGACCUUGAACUCCUGACCUGGUUUUGCUCCUGACCAGGCUCCUGGUCUUGAACUCCUGACCUCGUGAUCCACCUGCCUUGGCCUCCCAAAGUGCUGGGAUUACAGGCGUGAGCCACUGUGCCCGGCCCAUCCCUCAGUCUAUAUUUCCAUAACUGGAAGAAUCUCCUAAGUGGGCUGUAAUCUAGCCUUGCGUGACUCCAUCCUGCUCACUAAUAAAGAAAUAAUCCUCUUAAAAUCACACUUGGAUUAUUCUUUUCCGUUUUUCAGAAACUUUCAAUGGUUUCCCAUUGCCUGCAGAAUAAAGUCCAACCUUCAAAGUAGCUGGAAUUAAAAACCAUUAACAAUCUGGCCUCCCUACCUAAAUAACAUCAAUGAGAGGGCCACACAGAAGUCAGAUAUAUGGAAAUUAAAACAUGUUUUACUGGUGGAUAAAUGCUGUACUAGAGGAUAGGUUAUGUGGCCAAAAGAGUUUGCUGACAAUUUCUGCUUCCCAUUCCCCCAGUCUAGACCUUCAGACACAGUCCACCUGAGGCUUGUCUUCCUCUCCGUGGUCAUUUAGAGUUGAUCCUACUCAUCCUUUUCCCCCACUGCAGGCUUCCCAAGGGUUCCUGCAGCCCUUGGCAUCUGUCUCACUCACCUGUCCCUUCGCAUGUUCUGCCAUGAUGUUUAGCUUCUUUCUUGAGAGUAUGCCCUCUUCAUAGAAGUCAGAAACUCCUGGCCCACUGGCUAAACCUGAUCCCUAGAGGUUUUUCUGACUCUCACAAUGUUGGCCUGCACUGUGUUUGACAAUGCAUCAACUUACCUGACAAUUUGUAUUCUAUUUAUUUUUUUUUAGAAGAGGAGUCUCACUUUGUCACCCAGCCUGGAGUGCAGUGGUGAGAUCAUAGCUCACUGCAGCCUUGACCUCAUGGGCUCAAAAAAUCCUCCUGUUGGGACUACAGAUGCUCACCACCAUGCCUGGCUAAUUUAAAAUUUUUUUGUAGAGACAGGGUCUCACUAUAUUGUCCAGACUGGUCUCAAAUUCCUGGCCUCCACCAAUCCUCCCACCUCAUUCUCCCAAAGUGCUGGGAUUAUAGGCAUGAGCCACUGCGUCUGGCCUAUAUUCUAAAAAAAUUCUGCUGAGAAACUAGGAAAGCUAGCAGCCUUGGUUUCUCAGGUUUGACUUGCAACAAUUGACUUCUUGUAAAUGUUGCCUAUAUUGCUUUCUCUACCACCUCAACAUCAACUUUUUCCCAAUUCGCUCCUCAUAUUUCUGCUAUUUCAUGAAGAUUGCUCUUGUUAAUGUCACCAAGAGCCUCCACAAUUGCCAAAUCCAGUAGUUUGUCUCUGCUUUUGUCUUACUUGCCCUUUUGGCAGCAUUUGCCACUUAAUCAUGCUUUUCUUUUUUCUUUUUUAGACAGGCUUUUACUCUGUCACCCAUGCUGGAGUGCAGUGGUGCAAUCUUGGCUCACUGAAACCUCUGCCUCCUGGAUUCAAGCGAUCCUCCCACCUCAGCCUCCCGAGUAGCUGGGACUACAGGUGAGGGCCACCAUGCCUGGUAAUUUUUGUAUUUUUAGUAGAGACAGGGUUUCACCAUGUUGACCAGGCUGGUCUCAAACUCCUGACCUCAGGUGAUCUGCCCGCCUUGGCUUCCAAAAGUGCUGGGAUUACAGGCAUGAGCCACCAUGCCUGGUCGACACUUAAUCAUUCUCUACUUGUUUUUUUAAAAUUUUAUUUUUACAGUGUCACUCUCAGGAUAUCUACUUCUUAAAAUACUUUUUCUCCCUCUUGGAUUCCGUAACAACCCAUUUUGCGGGUCCCUCUUAAUCUGCUUUGCUGACUUCUGUCCGUUGUUCCAAGUCAGGUGGUCUCAGCUUGGUCUAGCAUCCUCUUCUCUAUUUGUACAUUCUUCCUAAAUGAUUUCAUCUAGCUUCAAAUCUUUAAAAGCCAUCUAUUUGCCAUGACUACUAACUUUGGAUUUGUAGCCUAGGCUCCUCCCUAGAACUCU